rnacentral:misc_RNA from 1 species
GAUGAAGAACGUAUCGAAAUGCGAUACUUGGUGUGAAUUGCAGAAUCCCGUGAACCAUCGAGUCUUUGAACGCAAGUUGCGCCCGAAGCCAUUAGGCCGAGGGCACGCCUGCCUGGGCGUCACACGUCGUUGCCCCCCCAUCUACUCCUUCGGGAUUGCGGGGGGCGGAUGAUGGCCUCCCGUGCGCCUCGUCGCGCGGUUGGCAUAAAUGCCAAGUCCUCGGCGACACACGCCACGACAAUCGGUGGUUGCGAAACCUCGGUUGCCCGUCGUGUGCGGUCGUCGCGCAUCGAGGGCUCGAAAAAAUUGCCGGGCUCCGGCUCGGCUUUCAACGCGACCCCAGGUCAGGCGGGGUUACCCGCUGAAUUUAAGCAUAUCAAUAAGCGGAGGA